rnacentral:rRNA from 1 species
UACACUCCUGCGGGAGGCAGCAGUGGGGAAUAUUGGACAAUGGGCGCAAGCCUGAUCCAGCCAUGCCGCGUGAGUGAUGAAGGCCCUAGGGUUGUAAAGCUCUUUUGUGCGGGAAGAUAAUGACGGUACCGCAAGAAUAAGCCCCGGCUAACUUCGUGCCAGCAGCCGCGGUAAUACGAAGGGGGCUAGCGUUGCUCGGAAUCACUGGGCGUAAAGGGUGCGUAGGCGGGUCUUUAAGUCAGGGGUGAAAUCCUGGAGCUCAACUCCAGAACUGCCUUUGAUACUGAAGAUCUUGAGUUCGGGAGAGGUGAGUGGAACUGCGAGUGUAGAGGUGAAAUUCGUAGAUAUUCGCAAGAACACCAGUGGCGAAGGCGACUCACUGGCCCGAUACUGACGCUGAGGCACGAAAGCGUGGGGAGCAAACAGGAUUAGAAACCCGUGUAGUCCCAUGAU